rnacentral:lncRNA from 1 species
AAGAAGUUGAAGAGAGAGAAACACGAGAUCAACGAAGAUCUAAGACCUUCUCCUCUUGGCUCUCCUCUUCCUCGACACCUUAGGUCUUGCUGAUCGACUUCCCUAUGGACGAGAUUAUCUUGGUAUUUCUUCAAUUUUAGUUUAGUUUCUUACAAAAUGUAUGAAAUUCUAGAAGAAUAAGAACACAUUGUCUAAGGGUUUAGCUUUAUUGGGUUUAUAGGAUUCUUGAUUUGGUUGAAUCUGAAUUUUUUGAAAUUUUCUUAUUUUAGGGUUUCUUUUGAUUGGUUUGAUGUUUACAAUUAUGUUUCUUGGUUAAAUUGAUCAGCAUUUCAUCUUGGGCUUCCCUUUGUGCAGAGUUAUCUUGGGCAGACUGGCUCUGUUGAAGAUUUGAUUCAUGGAGUGAAUUAAAACUUCAUCAUCCAGUGGAUUGAGGAGAGAUAUAAAAUAGAGUGGCUUCAAUAUUUCUCAUUUCCCCCCAAUUCAACCCAUCGGGCAAAUAGUCGUCGUCUGGUGGAAUCUGUGAGUUGAGUGCGAUAGAUACAGAUCGUCUUCGUCAAUUUUAUUCUACUGUGAUACCACUCUCUGGCUCUUCCAUCGAUGAUGACGCUUAUUCCGCUUCUUCUUCUCAUCACUUCGGCCGUCGGGUUACUUCUCUUUCCCCUUUCUUUACUUCUAUACAUGUACAAGCUUGAUUUUGCUUUUAAUUUUUUAAAUGAUUUGCCUAAUUUUUUUAAUUUUGAUGAAUUAUUUAUCUGGUUGAGUAUGUAUAGUCAUGACCUUUUAGAAAACAACUCAAUUCCGUUCAUUCCUCAUCUCUGUCACUUCCUUCCUUCCCUCUUUUCACUGUGUACAUGUCCAUAAAGUAAACCAUAGAUUAGUACAUCUGCAUAUCUUACAUAAAAAAUACCAUAAAAAUUCUGAUAAGAGACGAAUUGAAUUUUGCUCAGAUCAUCUGAAUGAAGCUUUAAAUUUUGUUAGCAGAUACUAGAGAGAGAAAGAUAAGAAGGGUAGUAAAUAAUACAGUAGUAGUAAUAAUAUUAAAUUUCAUCACAUUUCUUGUGAAAUUAAAAAGGGUUUUCUUUCCUUUUGCUUGUACCCAUUGUUGAGUAAAGCUUCAAUUUCGCGUAUAACUUAUAGCAUUUCACAUGUUAAGCAUCAAAAAAGGGGGGAAAUUGAGUGAUUGGGAGAGAGAAAUGUGUAAUUCAUUGAAAAAUGUUGGAUCAGGAAUUGGUUCCUGGUUGCGCGAAAAAAUUCUCGAUCCUCUGCUCCAAAUCCUGCAAAGGUACUUUUAAUUUUUAUUUGUUUAUGUAUAGAUAGAUACGUGUACUAUGUGUUUUUGUGUAAUAGUUAGAUUGCAUCUUUUAGUAAUUAAUAAUGUGUAUCUUUUUUGUUUGUCUAUUUAGUGGCUUGCUAAAUUAUCUGAUUCCUACAUAGUAUGUGUAGCCUUGGUGUUUUUUUAUUUGUUGUUAAUUGUUUGGCUGGGGGAAAAAGACAUUUUUGAAAAUUUUGGUAUAGUUUUCAUUCCAGACCUUUAAGUUGGAGAUAAGAUUGCAAAUAAUCUAGCUAAUGGGAGCAUUCAUUAAACUUCAAAAUUCAUGUUAGGGUGGAAAGUAGGUAAAAUUCAAGGGGUAAAUCACUGAAGUAAUCUUGUAAGCUAUUGUUUUAACAUUUUUCCCCAGAAAAAUAACUUCCGAACAAAAACCAAACAACUCAAGAUAACACAAGAUCAUAGGAGCCUGCAUAUAUAUUAAAAAAAAUCAAAUAGUAGAACCUAGGCACUAUGCAUUAGUUCUAACAUAUAUCCAUACCAAAUACUUAUCUCAUCUCCUAGGAACCAUUGUUCUGUACUUUGUUGUAAUUACUAAACACAAUAUCAAAGCAAUGCGUAGUAAAUGUGAAUAGGGUGUUAGUGUCCACAAUAUUUAAGUUACAAAGCUUCGAUAACAUCGUAACAGUUCUUUUAGAUUUUAACUAAAAAGUCAAGAAGUUGUUUUCUUUACUGCAUAAUUGUACUGGUAUAUUCAUUCAUCAAAAAAUAAAAAAUAUACAACAUGAACAUACUUUUAAUGUUUAUCCCUGGUUUUCAAACUAUCAGAUAUGCUCCACAGCUGCCCCUGGUUGUCCAGCACUGUCCUAACAGAGCUAAAAAUUGACAUAAGUCAGCAGCACCAAGUAGGCAGAGUUGAUAUUAUUUAUAACAAGAAAAAUAAAAUAACCCAGCAAAGUUUUAUGCGUAUCCUGCACGAAUGAAGAGUUGGGAGCAAGCAUUAUGUCUGUAGGGUAAGAAUUAUUCGUGAAGGCCAAGUAAAUUUCCUCUAGAAAUCAAAUACUCAAUCUUCUAUUAUAAAAGUAAGGAUCUUAUAAAACUAAGUGAUCUUAUAAAACUAAGGAUCUUAUACAACUAAGGAUAUUAUAAAGUAGAGAAAACAUAUCCAAUAUGCACUAUGUGAUUGCUGAAUGCAAAAAAUUUGACAAAAUUACUCAAAAAGCAUAAGCAGCAAGUACAUCAACACUGAAGGAUCUCAUAAAUAAAGAUUGAAAUACACCAACCUUUUACAAGAUUGACGUUUUGAGUUGAUAGUUCGUCAAAAUAUAAUAUUUCCUCCAUUCCUAAAAGAUUGAGUUUUAGAAAGUAAUUUUUGUUCUUAAAAGAUUGAUAUAAUAUCUCUACUUUCUCCUAUUUAAAGCUUUCUCCUAUUUAUAAUAUCUCUACUUUAUUCUUAUUUAAAGCUUUCUCCUAUUUAUUGUUGAAUAUAGCAUUGGGAUACAAAGUAUAAUUAAUUGAAUGGUAUACUCCUUUUUGGAAUCUACCAAGAUAAUAAUUGGCUGAGACAAUUAUAACAAGGGUAGUACAGUACUUUCUAUAGAUCUUAAGUUCAUUCCUUAAUCUAUGUGAAUAAACUUUAAACGGCAAUCUUUUAGAAACAGAGGGAGUAGUUGGUAAUUAUAAAUUGUUGAAAAAUGACAACUUAUUGACUAAUUUAGUAAUUACUUUUGAAAAAAAUAGAAAAAACUUAAUAAUAAAUUAGACAUGUUUUGAAUUUCUUUCUCUUUAUUUUUAAACAAAAAAGAAAUAUAAAAAUGAUUCUUACUAUUCUUUUCUUAGACAAAGUAACCACUUUUUUUUUAUAAUAGUAAUAAAAAAAGACAAUGAAAAUAUAAAAGAUGUUAAAAAGUCUAUUAAUAUUGAUAAACCGUAAGUAAUUUUAAAAAAAGAUAAUACACUUAAUCUAUGUAUAUGUGUGUUUGUAUGACAGAAGGAUCUCAUAAAUAAAGAUUGAAGUACGCCAACCUUUUACAAGGGGUUCCAACUUGGACUGCAACUAAUCAAUGUUUUUUUACAGGUAAUCCAUGCAAUAUAUAAGGCUUAUAUGACGAGGUCAGUUAAAGCAACUAUGUUGAUUAUAUCACGUUCUAGUCUAAUUUUUUGAUGAUGACUUAUUCAUUGGUACUAAAUUCUUCAUUAUGAAUUUCAGGAAAUUGUUUCAAGAAUUGUAUGAUGGAUUAUUCAAGAAGAAUGAAGACAUUUUGAGUCUUAAGAAAAAUAUGUAAGGUCAUUGCAAAUAUUUAAUUUUUCAAUUCAAGGCUCUAGGACAUUUUAGGUGUGCAUUUAAGUUGAUUAAAAAAAUUAAUGUUUCGUACAUGCUUAAUUUUAUGCUAACUGUUAUUACAUGAUUUAUUAUUAUACAUGCGUAAAAUGAUAAUUAUCCAGUUUAAUUGAAUUAUAUUACAUGUGUUAUAAGAGAGUUCUGAUUCUAUAUAAGCUGUAUAACAUGUGUGUAAUUUGUUGGAAGCACUAAAGCUUGUGGCGGUAAAGAUGUGAUCAUUAUCUGUUAGUUGAAUUAAAUACCCAAGUCUUGGGAAUAUAAGAUAAUGAUUAUCCUAGAGAGUUGUGUGAUAUUACACUUUCUUAUAUUUACAAAGUUAACACUCCAUUAUUUUUUGAAAGGCAGUAAUAUCU